CUGUGAUGUCUUAUAGAAGGUGAGGCCAGUUACUGUGAUGUCAUAUAGAAGGUGAGGCCAGUUACUGUGAUGUCAUAUAGAAGCUUCACACACGUCUGACAGGAGAGAACACUUGAAGCAGGAAAGAGAGACAACAAGAUAGGGAGAGAAAGGACGGAUUAAUAGCCAGAAAGAAUAAGUGAGAGAGUGGGCAAAUAAACAUCUCAGAGUAUGCCCUUAUGAAGACUGAAGUGUGAGCUGGUAAAGUAUGAGGAGAUGACCUGAAGGGUAAUGAAUGAAGAAGCUGCUUUUGAGAAGAUGAAACUUAGACAGUCACACACACAGUACACACUUCCGCACAAGCGUGCAUACACACGACCUCACACACACACACGCACACACACGCACACACACACGCGCACACACACAUACAGAUAAAGCAUGUCCUUCUCAAGGAGAAACACUAACCAUCACUGUGUUCUAUAGUUGCCAUGGCUCCUAAGAGGCAGUCUCGGCACUGAUCUCAGGGACAAUUCUGGUGGUUAUUUUAGUGUUUGCAGCUGUGUAUUGAUUUGUAUUAAAUGUUUUGUUUUUGAUACUUUUUUUUUGUAUUUUAUAUGGUAUUUUUGAGACAGGACAUUUUCUGACAGACAGGUGAAUGGGCGUCGCCUAGUUCCGGGGAAUGGUGGGUUUGGCGUCAUCAAUGAUGUGAGGCCCAUUGUUCAGCUUAGCAGUGACCAUGAGAGGAAAAUAAAAAAGCCUGGAAACAUGGGAAAAUCCACUGACCCAGUACUGCUAUAAGUUUGGCUUUGGCUGAAGAAGAGUACAACAGGCUGAUGAAGAGGAGCACAGCAGGGCUGAGGAAGAGGAUUCGUAGUAAGGACAACUGACCACUAAUCUUUAGUUGGUGGCCCUCAGAGGUGCUGAGAAGAAAUGGGACAAGAGAAGUCCCAUGGCUUUAAGCCCAGACCUGUCAAUCAUCAUCCUCAGACCACCACCUUUCUUUUUUGUGCUUUUUGAAUCUUUGAAAAGUCUAGAGGUUCAACAACAACAACAAUAAUAAUAAUAAAC
ensembl:lncRNA